ACAAACCUCCAUUGAUAUAGCCAUUGUAUUUUUGAGAAAAAACCGGUCCCUUCUCAAACUCCUCUCAACGAAAUUAGCCUUAAAAUGUAAGAAUUUUUAAUUUAUACUCUAAUUUCUAAACAAAAUUAGCCUUAAAAGCUUUAAUUCUGUCUCAAAUUUCUUACAAUUUUUGAAAUCAAGUUAUAUUUUGUGAUUAGGUUUUGAGGAAAAUAUUUUUAUAAGGUCAAAUGCUAUUUUGAAUCGUAUUUGCAAUAACAAAAAUAAUUCCAUGUUGCGUGUGAAAAUGCGAUGCAAACAUGGAGACUUACUUUCAAUGCAAACAUCAUGGUCAGAGGACAAUCCAGCUAGAAGAUUUUGGCUCUUUCCACACUGUCGUGUAUGGCCUUUACAUAUUCUCUUAUUAUUUUUCUUAUUUUUGUUAAAUUAAUUUACUUAUGACCUAUUUUAGGAGAAAUCAUACAACUUCUUUAGAUAAAGGGAUCAGAAAAAAAUUAAUUUACGAUCUAAAUCAAUCAUUUCGAGAUUGGCAAAAAGAAUAAAAGAGUUGGAAGAAGCAUUGUCAUUUUAUGAAAGUAAGGGGUAAUGGAUGGUGAAGGAGGAUAAAAAAAUAAAAUGUUAUAAUUGGAAGAUCAUCAUCAUGAUUGUCCUGGUGUUUUUAUAUUUUUAAGCAUUACCAAAAAUAUGAAGGAUGGUAAAUGUAGUUGUGUGCAGUUAAAAUUGCCAUAGUUAAUCUCUUGUUCUACUUUACAUCUUUAGUUUGAUUUUUUUCUUUUGUUGCUUUCUCUUGGUAUGAAUUCAAAGUAGUGUAUAUGUAUUUUUUCUAGUCAGAGUAGUAGUGGCUUAACAGGAUGUAAUUUUGCUUUAUAGGGUAAGACGUAUGCAACAUGUUUCAUGUCAAUUCGAAUUAGGACAAUAAAGUAACAAGCCAAAUACAAUGAAACAAAAUGAGGACUUCAUUCCAACAUAAUCAUCCCCUUUAUUAUUAAAUCAAAUUUGGUUCUUUAGCUUUUUAUGCUAUGCAGUAGUUUCAAAGGUAUUUUCAAUGCGUAUAUGUUCUCGUGUUCAAAGCAAGUUUCACAAGAUUGGGUUGAGGUUAUCACCAGUUCAAUUUUCAAAAAUCCACAUAAUUAGGAGAAUCUAUGACCCCCUAGUUUAUUCACCAUACCCAUACACCCCACACAUUCAAAACCAUCAUCAAAGCAUGAAAAUUUUUAUAUAAACUAUGGGAACAUCAUUUAAGAAAAUAAUCAUUCAAAAUCCUCAACCUAUAUUUCAAAUCCAACAUUCAAAACUACCUGAAUAAUAAUUUAAAACACAUAUUUUAAAAAAAUAAGCUCUGGGGAAGAAUAACAUGCAUGAGAUUAUCACAAUUACGGAGAGAAAUCACCCUUGAAAGCUCUAAUUGAUUAACCUUAAGAAAUCCUAGGUGUUCUUGACUUAGGGAUUUGACAGAGAAAAAAGUGUGUUUGAUUUGUGAAAGAAUAAAAAUAACCCUGUUUUGGUGUUUUAUGGACGUGGGUUUUAUUUGGAAAAGUGGGAAAUGACAAGAAUGCCCCCACUCAAAAGUGUAGAAAAAAAGACGUCUAGUCGUCACGGGUCACCUUACCACUCGUGAGGACACGUCCUGAGUCGUCACCAUGACUCUUGGUCAAGAUAGUAACUCAAGGAACCCUCACUGGUGACCCUAAGAAUCACACCAUAUGGCUCAUAGUCGGACAUUACGGUUCGUAGGGUCCUAGUUGUACUCCAAAAAAAAAUUUAGGCACCGCACUAGUUUGGAUACGGAAGGCACCUUACAACUCGACACUGACCUUAUGACACGUAGGGUCCGAGUCAUAGUCUGGGCAAAAAAAUCCACCAUCCUCACUGAUCACCCUAUGACUCAAGCCUUGCAAGUAGUAAGGAGACCUUACGACUCAUGAGGUGAGUCAUAGCUUGAGCAGUGAGCUCAAAACCAAGAAAUUCUUAGGCCCAAGAAUCCAGGGUGUUACCUUCUUCCUCCUAGGAUUAUUUGUCCCUGAAUGACAAAUCAUGGCAUUCAUUAGCAUGAUUUAACACAGAAACACAACAACACUUUCCUUUAAAAAAGUUAGAAAAUAAAGAUGGAGAGAAAAUCAUAUACCUUCAGCACGAUUAUCCAAAGAGGGAAAUAAGAAUGGAUAUUUGGACUUUAUGUCCUCUUCAGAUUCCCAAGUAGCUUCUUCAACUUUAUGAUUCCUCCAUAGAACGUUCACCAAAGACACAUUCUUAGUCCUCAAAUAACAGACUUGCCUACCAAAAUCUCAAUCGAGAUUUCCUUGUUAAACAAGGAAUACGAAAUGCCAACACUCUCUAAAGUAACAACGAAAUAAGGAUCUCUCACGCACUUCUUCAACAUCAAAACAUGGAACAUCGGAUUGAUCAAACCCAAACUCGAAGGCAACUUUAACUCAUAAGACACAUUGACCACUUUUCUCAAAAUUAAGAAUGGGUCAACAUAACGGGGAUUGAGUUUCCCUUCUUUCCAAUCCCAUCACCCCUUUCAUGGGAGACACCUUCAAGAACACCCAAUGUCCAACCUCAAAUUCCAACUCCUUUUACCUUACAUCCGCGUUGGACUUUUGGAAACUUUGGGCGGUCUUAAGACUAUCCCUAAUCAUCUUCACCUAUUCUAUGGCCUGGUACACUAAGUCAGUACCAAACAAUCUAGUCUCACUAACUUCGAACUACCCAAUGGGAGAACAUGUAACGCCCCGGAAAAUGGGUCCCGGAGCGUCACACGGUGCUUGAGGCUACGAGUAGCCCCAAGCUAACCCUUUGAGCCAUUUUUAUUCAGUUCAACACAAAUCAACGGGGUUUCCAUAAAUAACCCUCAAAUAUCAACAGAGUAAUCAUCAUCCAAGGAUAAAAGAAUUUCAGAAAGAUAACAAAAUACGACUUAUUAGUCAACUCCCAACAUCUAUACUAGUCUGAUAAGCCUCUAAGAAAAUCAAUAAAACCAGAGAGCCAUUGAGACNNNNNNNNNNNNNNNNNNNNNNNNNNNNNNNNNNNNNNNNNNNNNNNNNNNNNNNNNNNNNNNNNNNNNNNNNNNNNNNNNNNNNNNNNNNNNNNNNNNNNNNNNNNNNNNNNNNNNNNNNNNNNNNNNNNNNNNNNNNNNNNNNNNNNNNNNNNNNNNNNNNNNNNNNNNNNNNNNNNNNNNNNNNNNNNNNNNNNNNNNNNNNNNNNNNNNNNNNNNNNNNNNNNNNNNNNNNNNNNNNNNNNNNNNNNNNNNNNNNNNNNNNNNNNNNNNNNNNNNNNNNNNNNNNNNNNNNNNNNNNNNNNNNNNNNNNNNNNNNNNNNNNNNNNNNNNNNNNNNNNNNNNNNNNNNNNNNNNNNNNNNNNNNNNNNNNNNNNNNNNNNNNNNNNNNNNNNNNNNNNNNNNNNNNNNNNNNNNNNNNNNNNNNNNNNNNNNNNNNNNNNNNNNNNNNNNNNNNNNNNNNNNNNNNNNNNNNNNNNNNNNNNNNNNNNNNNNNNNNNNNNNNNNNNNNNNNNNNNNNNNNNNNNNNNNNNNNNNNNNNNNNNNNNNNNNNNNNNNNNNNNNNNNNNNNNNNNNNNNNNNNNNNNNNNNNNNNNNNNNNNNNNNNNNNNNNNNNNNNNNNNNNNNNNNNNNNNNNNNNNNNNNNNNNNNNNNNNNNNNNNNNNNNNNNNNNNNNNNNNNNNNNNNNNNNNNNNNNNNNNNNNNNNNNNNNNNNNNNNNNNNNNNNNNNNNNNNNNNNNNNNNNNNNNNNNNNNNNNNNNNNNNNNNNNNNNNNNNNNNNNNNNNNNNNNNNNNNNNNNNNNNNNNNNNNNNNNNNNNNNNNNNNNNNAUUGGGAGCCAUCAUGCUUCCCAUCUAUCAAAAUCAACCACGUUGUGGAUUUCUUUCACACUCGAGUUCAAAACAACUCCAUUAAGACCAAAAGGUCAAAUCAUUUAAAAUAUCUCAAAUAUUCAACAUCAACGUGCUUAUAACACACACUUUCUCAACAAAACACAAUUUCCAAUGGGGAUUCACGACCCAAAUAUCAAAAUCAUGAUAAAUAUCAUUCAAGAUUCAUGCUUUAUAUCUCCACACAUGUAAAUUCAUCUUUCAAAAUCAUAAACAUUAAGAUUUCAUAAUAAUCAUCAUAAGAUAUGGGUUCAUGCUUCAAAUUCGUAAAAAUCAAAUAAAAAUCAUGCCUUUGUAAAGAAAAUUACUUUUGGGCACAAGAACGAAAGAGAGUUCUUGUUGAAAAACCCCACAUACUUUGAAUGAUGAACUUUAGAUCGAUACUCGUUUUUGAGAUGUUAAUCGUGCCUUUGAAUGAUGGUUCUUGGAGUUCUUGAACUAGGAACUUGGAAUCUUGAAUAAAUUUGCAGAAUUAAUGGUAAACUUUGGAGGUUCUUGAAGUUGGAUGUAGGAGCUUAGGAUUUUCUUUUUGAGGGAAUUUGAUGAAAUAUAACAUAUAAUGCUUCUAAUAGGCUUUAAUAUAGGCUUUUGAUGGAUUUUGGGUGGGGGGAAUGACCAAAAUGCCUCUAAAAAUCAAAUAAUUCUCGAAUCUGCCUUUUGGUGGACUGUUUUGAUAGUCUAAAAUAGAUCAACCAUAACAUUUUACUCCGACAUCUAAAUUGGAUGAAACCAAUUUCAUGGACUGUUUUGAUAGUCUGAAGUAGAUCAACCAUAAUGUUUUACUCCAAUAUCCAAAUUGGAUGAAACCAAUUUCAUUAGAAAGAGGACUCUCAUAUCUUUCCGUUGAUAUAUAGUAUCUCACCUAGAUCAUUGUGUACGAGGAUUUAUGAUCAUUUGAAGUUUAUCCAAAAAUUCACUUUUGGUAGGCUGAAGUAGAUCAAUCAUAACUUUUUGCUCCAAUAUACAAAUUGGAUGAAACCAAUUUCAUUGGAAAGAGGACUCGCAGAGCUUUCCGUUGAUAUAUAGUUAAUCACUCAGAUCAUUAUGUACAAGGAGUUAUGAUCAUUUAAACUUGGAGCAAAAAUAGGCUAGGCCUCAGUACUUUUUCCUGCUCGUUUUACUGUUUACUACUAUUCAUGGUUCAAUCGGAAUGUUCAUAACUCGUCGCUUGGGUGUCCGUUUUGGAUGAUCCAUAUAUCGUUAGAAAGAUUAUUUGAUACUCUACGUGAUAGUGGGUCAUAACCUAAGACAUUCCGCACGGAAAAUUUAUAAUUCAUUCUAGAAGAUAGAACCUAACACAUUUACGCAUAAAAUUUCAACAAAAAAUUUCUUAGGGUAUUACAGAACAACAUCUCCUACCAUACAAAGCCUUAAACAGAGCCAUCUGAACACUAGAAUGAUAGCUGUUAUUACAUGCAAACUCUAGGAGAGGUAAAUGAUCAAACCAACUACCACCAAAGUCAAUCACACAGGCCCUUAGCAUAUCUUCCAGAGUCUGAAUAAACCUCUCCGUUUUUUCAUCCGUCUGAGGGUGGAUAGCAGUGUUAAGGUUCGCCUUAUUCCAAAACCUCUCUGAAAUGAUAGCCACAAGUGAUAUGAAAACUGCGUACCUUGAUCAAAUAUAAUAGAAAUAGGAACACCACGCAACUUGACAAUUCCUGAAUGAAAAUCUUAGCAUAAUCCUCUGCAGAAUAAUUAGUCCUCACUAGCAAGAAGUAAGCGGACUUAGCCAUCCUAUCCAUGAUGACCCAUAUCGAUUCGAACUGUUUAUGAGAUCGCGGAAUAUUGGUAAUGAAAUCCAUAUUAAUCACUUGUCAUUUCCACACAGGUAACUCAAUAUCUUGAGACAAACCACCAAGCCUCAAGUGCUCUACUUUCACUUGUUGACAAAUCAUGCACUUAGCCACAAAAUUGGCCACAUUUUUCCUCAUGAUUUUCCACCAAUAAAUCUCCUUCAAAUCAUAAUACAUCUUCGUCGAUCUAGAUGAAUAGUGUACCUCAAAUCAUGAGCCUCAGCCAAGAUCCUUUCUAGUAACCAGUCAACAUCGGGAACACACAAUCUACCUUGGUACCUUAAGAUACCAUUACCACCAACCUUAGAAUCCAUGACUUUAUGCUGACCCACAUCAUCCCUAAUCUGCAUCAAGAUAGGAUCUAAAAAUCACUUCUCCUUUACCUCAACACCAAGAGAUGACUUUAUCACCACUUGCAUAAUCACACCUUCAUUCUCAGAGUCUAAAAGACAAACUCUAAGAUUAGCCAAAUAGUGAAUAUCUUUCACCAGUCCUCGCUUCUACUCAUCUAUAUGAGAUAAGAUACCUAUAUAUAACCUACUAAGAGUAUCAGCAACCACAUUAGCUUUACAUGGGUGAUAAUGGAGACUCAGGUCGUAGUCUUUGAGCAACUCAAGCCAUUGCCUUUUCCUGAGAUUCAACUCCUUCUAGGUGAACAUAUACUGCAAGCUCUUAUGGUUAGAAUUUAUAUCAACAUGAACUCCAUACAAGUAAUGGCGCCAAACUUUCAAAGGAAAAAACACAACCAACAACUCCAAAUCAUGAAUCAAAUAAUUCUUCUCAUGUACCUUAAGCUGCCUAGAAGCAUAUGCCAUAACAUUACUAUAUUGCAUCAAAACACAACUCAAUUCCCAUAUUUGAGGCAUCACAAUAAACAACAAAGCUAUCAGUACCCUCGGGUAGGGCCAAAACUGGCGUAGAAAUCAACUUGUCCUUCAACUUUAAAAAACUACCCUCACAAGCAUCGGACCAUAGAAACUUCACCUUUUUCUGGGUCAACUUAGUCAAUCGAGCAGCAACCGAAGAGAAAUUCUCCACAAACCUCUUAUAAUACCCAGCUAAAUCCAAGAAGCUCCGAAUAUCGGUUGGAUUCGUGGGUCUAGGCCAUUUUUUAACCGCCUUAACUUUCUAUGGAUCCAUCAUGAUCCCUUUACUAGAAAUAACAUGACUCGAAAAAGUAAUAGUAUUUAUCCAAAACUCACACUUCAAAAUCUUAGUAUAUAAUCGUUGAUCCUUAAGAGUCUGCAGCACUAUACAGAGGUGAUUGGCAUGGUCUUCUUUACUCUUAGAAUAUACCAAGAUGUCAUUGAUAAACACAUUGACGAAUAAGACCAAAAACUGAAGAAAUACCCGAUUCAUAAGAUCCAUAAAUACCGUCGAGGCAUUAGUCAAACCAAAUGACAUAACCAAAAACUCAUAAUGGACAUAUCGAGUAUGGAAAAAAGUCUUAGGGAUAUCCACCUCCCUAAUAUUCAACUGAUGAUAACCCGACCGAAUAUCAAUCUUAGUAAAGUACUUAGCUGUCAUCAAUCCUAGGAAGAGGAUACUUAUUCUUCAGUUACCUUAUUCAACUGUCAAUAAUCUAUAUAUAUUCGAAGGAACCCAUCCUUCUUACGCACGAAUAGAAUAGAAACACCCCAUGAAAAAACACUCUAGCGAAUAUAACCCUUGUCAAGAAGAUUUUUCAACUGCUCCUUAAGUUCUUUCAACUCGGUCAGAGCAGUUCCUGAAGGAGGGAUAAAUAUAGGAUAGGUAUCAAGGAGAAGGUCAAUCCCAAAGUCUAUUCCCUAUCGGGAGAAAUACCAGGAAGAUCAUAGAUCAUUAGGAAACACUUUGGGAAACUCAUUGACUAUAGGGACAGAUUACAAAGAAGUCCUUCAAAAUUAGAAUCCUUAACCUAAACUAGAUGAUAUAGACACCCCUUGGAAAUCAAUUUUCAGGAUUUUAGAGAAGACAUGAACCUCUCCUUAGGUGCUAAAAAACUACCUUCCCACUCAAUUAUUGGUUCAUUCAGAAAUUAGAAACUGACCCUUUAGGUUCUACAAUUAAAAGACACAUAGCAUGAAUGGAGCCAAUACAUCCCCAAAAUAACAUCAAAGUUUAACGUAUCCAUCUCUAUUAGAUCCACCAAUAUCCCCUACCACAGAUAGAUACCACACAACCCCUAUAGAUUUUGCUAACCAUAACAGAGUCACCCAUUGGGGUAGACACAGAAAAGGGAUCAGAAAUACACUUAUGACCAAAACCAAAAUAGAUAGCCACAUAAGGGUCACAUAAGAAAGAGUAGAACCGAAUCAAGUAAGCAAUAAAUGUCAUGAGAGAAGAGUUAUAAUGUGCCACUGACAACGUCAGAAAAAACCUUAGAUUCUUGAUAGGUAGCGAGAGCAUAUAGACAAUUUCUACUAGUGACGAUAUCAAAAGUAGCACCCUUCGGUGCUAGAGUGGAAGACAUAGAAAUCGAAACCUUAUUAGCUAUAGUAGAAACAUCAUCUAAAGGAUAGUUCUUCUAAAUAUAACCAGGUUGACCACAUCAGAAACACUUAUUUAUCCCCUAAUCAUAAAAACCACAGUGCAACUAUCCACAAAAUCUACAAGGAGGAUAUAAUGGAGUUGAUUGUGCCCCACUGUCCUAAGAUUAGGAACCUUGUUCCUUAAACCCACUGUUACUCUAAAAGCAACGAUCACCGAAUGGCUUAGGAUAUGGAGCACUCACCGUAGAAUAAGAAUUGGAAUUUCCCCACUUCUUCUUGGUCCACUAUCUGCCAUCCCUAUCACUAUUCUGAUGACCUCCACCCUGCUCAAAAUACUUGAAUUUCAUACUUUGUCUUUCUCCCAUUUCGUCUUAUUUCUUCUUCUCCUCUUCAACCUGUUGCAUAUACACCACAAGCCUAGAGAUAUCCAUAUCCUUGUUCAGCAAGGAAACCUUAAACUCCAACACUAAGUCCCGAGAUAAACCUAAAGUGAACUUCCUCAUCUUACCCAUUAUAGAGGACACCAACUCUGGGGCAUAACAGAAUAACUGAUGAAACGUCAAGGCAUACUCUUUCACAGACAUUCUGCCUUAAUUUAAAUUUAUGAACUUUUUAGCCUUUACCUCCCUCAACUUUUGAGAAAAGAAGCGGUCAAAAAAGCACUAAAAAAAUCAUCCCAUAAUACCAGCUCAGCAUCAUCCCCUCUUAACUACUCCCACUCCACAUACCACUGAUAUGACAUAUCCUUUAACUGAUAUGCGGUGAAAUCCACACCCUCCGAGUCGGAAGCAUACAUCACUCAAAAGAUUUUUUCUAUCUCAUUUAUGAACCCUUAAGGAUCCUCCUCAACCUUGGAACCAGUGAAAGUCGAAGGACUCAACCUCACAAACUGGCCAACCCUUGUGGCCUCAAAGAAAGAAGGACGAAAGCAAUACACUCAUACUGACACAAUUGUGAUUCCACCAGCUCAGUAAGAAAAUGGAUCAAUAGGCGGAACUUAGCAUUAGACACAUCACCCUGGGGAGUCUAAGGGAGACUAGAGGGAACCGGUGAAACUCCAUGAAGGCAAUCAGUAGCAAAGAACCUAGAUCCGGCCUGUACCCCAUAUGCAAGAUGAGUUUCGUCCAUAUUGUUCUCAAGUGGGAUAGAAGAGUUUCCACGAGCAUCAGAUCUUCUGGGAGGCAUGAUCUAAAAUACAAACAAAUAGGGAUUAAAGGAAAUUUCAACAUCCUAGACUCUACAGUCCAAAAGUAGAACACAAGAAAGGGAUACAUUCCUAAAUGCCUCGUAGUUUCUCCCUUAUAAGUACGGCGUGCUACACACCCAUAAAAAGACUCUACAUAACAUUAUUUUGUGGACACCCAACUGCACAUGAACCUAGGGCUCUGAUAGAAGGCUUGUCACGACUCAAAUCAAGGACUGACCAUGACGGGUAUCUCAAGUCCACCAAGGACCAGAGAACACCCCCUUUGCCUAGUCAAACAUAAUACAAUACAGCUAGCAGCAGAUAAAUUUUAAAUAUAUAACAAGAUAGAUAAACAAAACCAAGACAAGGUUCUAUGAAUUCAAUAAAACAUCCCAAUCCAUAGUAAUUCACAAAGCAUCUACUAUUUGAAAAUAAUCUAAGUCGGGACAUGCCCCGAUGAUAGCCCAAAAGAAACCAUGAGAAAUAGUCUAUGACACAAAAUAAACUAAGAAGUAACAGCCUUCCAGAAAAAGAAGGCUCACCAUUUUAAGUUGGCUCAUGAACGGUCUAAGAUCACCUAUAACUGCAUAGGAAAUGAAGAAGUAUCUCUGGUUCCUGUAUCACAUGGGGAUACAAUAUCUAGAGAUGGUUAACGGGUUGAACGCUAGCGUGUAACUCAUGGAGGAGAUAAAAUAAUGCCAUAAUUGAUAGUUCAAAAAUCAUUCAAAGCCAAUGCACAUAAUCAAACACAUAUAUAAAAUAGGUUAGGAUACUGAAAAAGGCUUAGCAUAUAAGUAAAACAUUAGCCUGGACUUUAUAGCUAAACGGUUACAAAAAGGCAUCCACGAGCUAUAUGGGUCCAGCUCCACCUGCAGAAAGAGCCCAGUAUAUGUUAGCCACACAAACCAGAAGUAUCAAGAAAGACUAGGGAAUGUCCUGAACCCACGUAAUCCAUGAUAUAAAUAAAUAUCAAUCGUGUGAUUCAUGCACACGGUCGUAAAGACCAACCCUCAUGCCGGCAAGCGUGAGUUUACAGUAUCGGUCCUUCGAGACCUCCAUCUUUACGGCUUAGCUACAUAACCCCCAUUAAGCUAAAUUAAAAUAAGUUUUACAUAAAUCAUUCAUUUAACCAAGUAAUUGAUCGCUAAGGCACACCAUAGAUAUCGUCAUACCCUUACGUUUGCAAGCUUAUAAUUAUGUCGUUACAAUUUCAUUAACUUGGGAAAAUGCCUCGACCCCCUUUGUUCAUUAAAUAAGUAUGGGGGAAUGCCACGAACCCCUUUGUUCAUUGAAUAAAAUUUUGUUAUUUAGCCUUUUUAUGUUAUGCUGUAGUUCCAAAGGUAUUUUCAAUGCAUAUGUUCUCAUGUUCAAAGCAAGUUUCAUAAGAUUAGGUUGAGGUUAUCACCAAUUUAAUUAUCAAAAUCCACAUAAUUGGGGAAAUUCACUACCCCCAAGUUUAUUCACCAUCCCCAUGUACCCCACACGUUCAAAAUCAUCAUCAAAGCAUGAAAAUUUCAUAUAAACCAUGGGAACAUCAUUUAAGAAAUCAAUCAUUCAAAACCCUCAACCCACAUUCCAAAGCCAACAUUCAAAACUACUUGAAUAAUAAUUUAAACCACAUAUUUUAACAAAAUAAACUUUAGGUAAGAGUAACAUGCCUGAAAGUAUCACAAUUAUGAAGAGAAAUUAUCCUUGGAAUCUCUAAUUGAUUAAUCUUAAGAAAUCAUUUGUGUUCUUGACUUAGGGUUUGAGAGAGAAAAGAGUGUGUUUGAUUUGUGAAAGAAUGAAAAUAACUCCUUUUUGGUGUUUUAUGGACGUGGGUUUUAUUUGGAUAAAAAAGGAAAUGACAAGAAUUCCCCCACUCAAAAGUGUAAAAAAAAAUGGUCAGUCGUCAAGGGUUACCUUACGACUCGUGAGGACACAUCAUGAGUCAUCACCAUGACUCUUGGUCAAGACAGUAACUUAAGGACCCCUCAUUAGUGACCCUAUGAGUCAUACCAUAUGACUCAUAGUUGGACCUUAUGACUCAUAAGGCCCUACUCAUACUCCAGACAGAAAUAUUUGGGCACCGCACUAGUUUGGAUAUGGAAGGCACCCUACAACUCGUACACCAACCUCACAACUCAUAGGGUCCUAGUCAUAGUCUGAGUAGAAACAUCCACCAUCCUCACUAGUCACCCUACGACUCGAGCCCUUCGAGUCAUAAGGAUAUUUUACGACUCAUGAGGUAUGUCGUAGCUUGAGCAGUGAGCUCAAAACCAAGAAAUUUUUGGGCCCAAUAAUCUAGGGUGUUAUAAUCAGACAUCGUUGUCACCUUUGUAUCAAUGAUAAUGACUCGUCUACUUGACAAUACAAGCUACAAAAAUAAAUCACAGAAAUUAAAAAGACAUGAAUAUGAAUAAGUAAAGCAAUUUAUACACACUACUUAUAUUAAAAGCGAUAAAUCCAUCCUCAACUUAGUAUAUUCUAACCCUACCAUACUUGGCCUUUUAAAAGGUCUUGAAUGUCCUCCACUAGUGUCCUCAUGCUCUUGUUUUUUAGAAGUCAUUCUUCUUCCUUUACCCCUUCCACUGCCAUAAAUGAUUUGACGUUCUUGAGUCAGUCUUUGUUGAGUCAUCCCUCUACCUCUACCACUGCCCUUCCUCUACCACUUAUAAAAACUUGUUUAUUGAGACUCAAAUUGGUAUAUCUAUGUUUUGUAAAAAUAAUUAGACAAAUUACCUGUGUUUGUGCAAAAGUUCUAUCUGAUUGACUAGGAACAAUUGGGACAUUUAGACCACUUGAACAUUGCCUUUUUUUCCACCUCUUCCUCUGCCACUUUAAAUGAUUGUGGUGGCCUAAUUAUUAAUAAAUUAGUACAUAUACUUAAAAAUUUAUUGAUAAUGACACAUAAAUUAAUAUACCGCUGCCUGGGAAGAUGUUCCAACUGACUGACUUGGGUUACUGCCCCUUGCUCUGCCUCUUUCUCUACUAGUAGAAGCUCAAGUUUGUGUUUUAGAAUAUUGAUUUUUGCACUUAACAAAAUAUACAUUAAGUAAUGAUUAAAAAAUACAUGUGCCUGAGAAUAUUUUCCAACUGAUUGACUUGGAUCAGGUUGAUCUCUUGUAGGACAUCAUCUUUUAUUGUGUCCUUGUGUACCUCAUUUGCUACAAGUCAUAACAGCACCGCAUUUGCUAAGUUUCUCAGUUUUUCUACUUUCAUUAGCCUUCUUUCUUCUAAAUUUACUUGAUUUUUUAGGCAGCUUCUUGACCUUUGGUAUUUUCAUAAUAGGAUAAUUUAAUGUUGACUAUAUUUUUAUAUUGUUCAUUACUUAAAUAAAAUGGGCAUAUAUGCUGAGGUAGGUAUCCUUAUGAUAGCAGUUGUCCACAAAAUUAAUGGGUUCAUAUUCCUUGUGGUGAAGAACAACAACACUAAGAAGACAAAGAAUGUGCCCAAGCUGCCAAGAUCUACAACUCCUACUAAUAAUGUCCACAGUGUGUGUGAAACCCCUAUGUUCAAUCUCAAAACCCUUUUUCCUAUUUCAAAACAAGUUGCACUAUAUUGACUUGUCGAUAUUUUCUUGGAGAAUCUUCAGAGCUACAGGAGAAAUAUCAGUGAUCCAAGUAUUUGAAAAUUGUCUCAAUUCACUAAUUUUUUUCAUCCAUCAUCUUCAUCCUAAUAUCCUCAAGAAUUGUGAUGAUUGUUUUAAACCUUGUAGGCAGUAUCCAUGCAUUAAAACUCUCUGUCAUAUUAUUGUCCACAACAUCAUAUUUGCAAUGCUCUUCAAAGUAUUUUUUCCACCAUGUCUUCAAAUUGUACCACAAAAGAUCAUCCAAACAAUCCAUUCCUAACAAUUUUUUUCUUAUAUAUUCUCCUUCAGUUCUGCUUUAAAUGUGGAUUUUGCAAUUCUUCAAAAUAAUUUUCUUCUUUCAAUCCCCUUUCAGAUUUUACACCGAUUAGCAAGAAUAUGUCUUGCACAUUUUUUAUUUUUUAGUCCGUGGCAAUAGCUCUUUCACGGUAAUUUUCAGUCCCUAACAAAACAAAAUAGGAUAUUAAUCUGCAGAAUUAAAGAAAAAAAAACUUAUUAAGAAUGGAGUCAUGCCUUUUGCAUAUCAGUUAUGAUGCUUAACUGAUGGCCUUCUCCAAGCUCAAGGUCAUUUUUGAAUAUUUCAAGAAACAAUCCCCAUGUAAACUGAUUUGCAACCUCAACAACUACCUAGUUAAUAGUUAGCAUUUGGUUGUUUUCAUCUCUGCAAAUAGCCACCAACAACUCACCUUUACAUACACCUUUAAGGAAACACCCAUCCAAACCAAUCAACCUUCUAACACCUCCAAAGAAUGCUUUCUUUAAAGAAUGAAAGCAUACAUAAAAUUCUUAUGAAAUAAACUAUCCAAUCUCAUCAGUUUCUCCAACCACAACAACAUAAGUACUACCUGAAUUAGUCCUCAAAUUCUCAUUCGUCUAACUAAAAAUCCUACCAUAUUCCACAAUUUUAUCACUCAUAAUCUCUUAUAGCACUUUAUACCUAGCUCUUUUCACAAUUGUCCUACUAAUAUAGAUAUCCACAUUCUUUCUAAUAAUCUACUACAACUGGAUAAUUUUGAUGUUUGGUUGUUGACUUAUUUUGUCUUUUUACUUACUUGUCAGAAACAUUGAUUUGCAAAGAUAUUUAAAUGUUGAUACCAAAUAAAUAUGAAUAGGAUUAUAUUUUUUAGAAUUAAAAUUCUCACUAGUCUUCCUUACUAGCACACAAUAAUUAAGGACACGUCUUUUUACAGCACCUCAUUCUAACUCUGUCAGACUCAUUCACAUACUUUCCAUUUAAAUAUUUUCUUGAACUGCAUAUCUAGUUACUAAUAUCCUAAAUUCCUUGAUACUUGAAAAUAUCAAUCCUAAUUUUCAAAUAACUUUUCACGAGUUUCAUUAAAAUCAACUUUGUUUCUUUGUUCUUCCAUUUUACAGGUUUAUGCACUACUAGAUUAACCUCGUUACCAUCUCUUGAACCUAAUUCAAUAGCUAUUUUAAAUCUAGGAUCUUCAUUACUUAUAUAGUAAGAUUCAUCACCACCUUACUUACCAACUAGGUUAUCCCUAAUACCAACAUUUGUCUCAUCAUAUCCUAUGUUUGGACCUUUUUCAUCGACAUUAAUUUGUUCAUCUAUUUACCUCUACUUCUCCUUUGUGACCUAUCUAAAAGUCUCUUGCUUUCCAUUAUAUCAAUAUACUCCUGACGGACAUCACUGUCAACGUCACUUUCUUCACUCCUUUAAAUUUUGAUCAUCCUCUAAAUCAUCAUCACUUAGAUCUUCAUCUAUUAUAGAAUCAAGAGGGAUAGAAAGUAUAGUAAAAGGAGGAGGGUUGGAAGGUAUAGUAGAAAGAAGAGACUCAUCAAAGGGGUUAGAAGGAAAAAGUCGGAGAAGAAGACUAACUAUUAGGGUUAGAAGCAUCACCCUCAUUAAUAGGGUUCAAAGAUUCCUCACCUACCCCACUAUCACUGACAUUGGGGACAAACUCCAAUUCAAGUGGAGUCUAAUAAGGAUCAUUGACCCCAUGUAAAAUAUACACCUUAAGUUCAUCCCCUUUUUUAACCUGCUAACAAUGUCAGACAUUACCUUAUUUUUAUGAAGUAGACAUCCCAAUUAAUAAAAAAGUCACAUUUUAUUGUAUAUCCUAGAUAUUUUAUGUAGUCUCUUAACUCAAAGUACGACAUCAUACCAACAUCGUUAUCUAAGAACUCGUCACAGUCCCAUCAAUAUAAUCAGGUGGGGGACUAAAUACAAUUUCACCCCAUGUUUACAUCUUAAGGUUAUCAGAACAAACGACAUAGAAAGAUUCCUUAAAAGGUACAAUUUCAGCCACACAAACACAUUGAAAUCAGUAAACCAAAUUAUAAAUGUAAUACCCUUAGUUCUACCUAGCUUGAAAUCGUUCCAAGAAUGUUAGAAACUUACUUUGAAAAAUGAAUCCAUUUUUGUACAUGUGGAAUUUUUAAGAUUUUAACUUUUUGUUGAGUGAAAGUUUGAAUUAGCUUUUGAAAAUACCAAUUUCGUCCAAAUUCGGUAUCGAGGUAGAAAGUUAUAGCCAAAAUACAGAAAGCAGUCAAAACUGCCCAGGUGCGACGAUAAAGGCCGACAGACCGUCGAGCUAGCGACGGACUGUCGCCCGAACCGUCACAGCAGAGGCAGUAAGACCAUAUUCUUCCUAAAGGCAAUGGCUCGAGCCGAUGGACCGUCGAGCUAGCAACGGACCAUUGCCCAAGCCGUCGUAAGAGAGGUAGUGAACCCUUAUUUUGCCCAGGUACGACGGUCAGGACCGACGGACCGUCGACCCAGCGACGAACCGUCACACCCACUAUCGCAUACUUCAUUCAGCUAUUUUAAGUUGUUUUUAAAAGGGCUUUUUGGUCUUUUACCAUUCUUUUUUUAUACCUAUUUAUAUCAGGCCAAGCCUCAUAAGUUCAUUAUCCAUCUACAACAUCAAACUAGGGUUUACUCUCAAAGAUAAUCCCCAAGAACAAGAUCCAAACCCUUCUUCAAGAAACUAAGAGAUUCCAAGUUCUUCAAGUCCAAGAACUUCAAGAAAACUCAAUGAAGGUAUGUCAUGUGUUGAUUCAUGGGUACCUUUCACCCAUGAAGCUCAAGAAUCUCUUUUCAAAAUUCAAGAUUUGUGCAUUUAUAAAUAUUCAUGAUUUAAAUUAAAUUGAAAUUCAUGUUCAUGAUGUUGUGGGGUUUUGAUUCAUGUUUUAAAUUUCAUAUUCCAAUGAUUGACCCUAGUAUAUGAUGAUUUGCAUAAUAAUCAUGAUAAACCCCUUCAAAUUUACAAAUUUAUUUAUGCAACCAUGAUAGUUAGAUGCAUUGAUAAUGGUAUAACCAAAGUAUGCUCCCCAUAUAUUUGAUUAAAUGUCUAUGUGAAGGAAAAAUGUCAUACUAGUGUGAUAAUAUGAAAUUCCCAUUCAUGUACAAGUUUAUGCAUGUCAAAUGUUUGAUGAAAUGAUUUAGUCAGUGAAUUAUGGAUACAUGUAUAGCCGUUGUGGUGCUUUAGAACUUGUACUUCAUGAAAUCUCGAACUUAUUACAUUAUGGAUUGUUGAUAUUGGUCAUGUAUUCAAGAAAGUCAUGCUUUGUCAGUUUCUUCCCAUCGAGUCCUGGGGGUACUUGUACCCAAAAAUUUAGCUGUGUGCCUAAAAUCAGUGUCAUGUUUUCAAGAUACUCUCAGUCAAUUCAUGAGCCAUAGAAUUCAGUCAGUCUCAUGACUCAAGAAAACUCAGUAAUCUCAGUAGUAUUUCGUCAGUCCAUGAAAAUUCAGUUAACUCAGUCUAGUCAGUUUAGUUAAUCAUGUUCAGUGUCUAUUCAGAUGGGAGUAGAAAUUAGCACCAAGUCAACCCAAGGAUGGGAACACACCUGUUAUAUGAGGGUGUGAUUCUUAGAAGCGAUCCUUCUAUUCCAGAACUACGCAGCCAGCGUAGGUUGAGACAUCAUAGCCUGUUAUAUGAUGGUAGAUGGGGUGGCUUAACCUGUUAUAUGAGGGUUCCCACUGUUCUCACUAGAUUUAUCUAUUAUAUGAGGGUUACUCACAGAUUAUCCUUACCAGUGACGCGAUAUUGACACCCUUCCAAUUGGGGUUACAGAUUGGACCCCAACUCAGCUAUAUUGCGUUAUUUGGGGCAUGUCGGUUAGAUGACUACUUUUCAUAGUUUCAAUUACAGAUCAAGACUGUCAGAUACAGUCAUUCAGUCUCAAUAAUAGAACUCAGAUAGUUUUAUAGAAUUCAGGACUGUCAGAUAUAAUCAACUCAGAACAGAACGAAAUUCAGAUAGUUCCAUUAGAACCUAGACUGUUAGAUACAUUCGCUCAGUAUUAGUUAUUUUAGUUAUACAGUUAUCAGUAUCUCAUGUUAUCAGGACUCAGACUCAGUAAUCAUGUUAUCAUAAUCUCAGUUAUAGUUAUUAUGUAUUCAUGCAUGUAUUCUCGCAUUCAUGUUAUUCAGUCAGUUAGUAUAGUUCAUACAUGUCAACCCUUUGCAUUCAUCCUACCUCACAUGCAUACUAGUACAUUCAAUCGUACUGACGCAUUUACGCUAUGGUGUUUUAUACCAUAGGUUCAGAAGCACGAACUCCAGAGCAUCAGUAGCAUUCCAGUCUCAGCAGUCAGAGUUAGCAGUGAGUCCUCAUCCUUCGAGGACAUGACCAUUACUUUAUUAUCUCAUUAAUUAAUUUAUUUCAGUAAUUGGAGUUAGUUGGGGACAUGUCUCAUCAACUCCUUAUUCAGACCAUUCAGUCAGUUAGAGGCUUUCCAGACUAUUAUGUUUAGACAGUUAUUUCAGUUAUUUUGGGUAUUUCAUACCCCACCCAGAUGCUAUAUUUUUAUCAGAUAUUAUGUCUCAGUUUUGAAC
rnacentral:lncRNA from 1 species